rnacentral:rRNA from 1 species
CCUACGGGGGGCAGCAGUGAGGAAUCUUCCACAAUGGGCGAAAGCCUGAUGGAGCGACGCCGCGUGCAGGAUGAAGGCCUUCGGGUUGUAAACUGCUUUUAUAAGUGAAGCGGUAACUUAUGAAUAAGCACCGGCUAACUACGUGCCAGCAGCCGCGGUCAUACGUAGGGUGCAAGCAUUAUCCGGAGUGACUGGGCGUAAAGAGUGCGUAGGUGGUUUGUUAAGUGAAUAGUGAAAUCCGGGGGCUCAACCCACGGGCUAUUAUUCAAACUGGCAAGCUCGAGAAUGGUAGAGGUAACUGGAAUUUCUGGUGUAGGAGUGAAAUCCGUAGAUAUAAGAAGGAACACCAAUGGCGUAGGCAGGUUACUGGCCUUUCUGACACUGAGGCACGAAAGCGUGGGGAGCGAACGGGAUUAGAUACCCUUGUAGUC